AACGAACGCUGGCGGCAUGCCUAACACAUGCAAGUCGAACGAGACCUUCGGGUCUAGUGGCGCACGGGUGCGUAACGCGUGGGAACCUGCCCUUAGGUUCGGAAUAACUCCCCGAAAGGGGUGCUAAUACCGGAUAAUGUCUUCGGACCAAAGAUUUAUCGCCUUUGGCUGGGCCCGCGUUGGAUUAGCUAGUUGGUAGGGUAAAAGCCUACCAAGGCGACGAUCCAUAGCUGGUCUGAGAGGAGGAUCAGCCACACUGGGACUGCGACACGGCCCAGACUCCUACGGGAGGCAGCAGUGGGGAAUAUUGGACAAUGGGCGAAAGCCUGAUCCAGCAAUGCCGCGUGAGUGAUGAAGGCCUUAGGGUUGUAAAGCUCUUUUACCCGGGAUGAUAAUGACAGUACCGGGAGAAUAAGCUCCGGCUAACUCCGUG
rnacentral:rRNA from 1 species